rnacentral:miRNA from 1 species
GAAUUUACUGUGAUUCCCAUG